rnacentral:rRNA from 1 species
GACGUAGGGCGCAAGCGUUGUCCGGAUUUAUUGGGCGUAAAGAGCUCGUAGGCGGUUAUGUAAGACAGAUGUGAAAUGCCCGGGCUUAACCUGGGAACUGCAUUUGUGACUGCAUGGCUAGAGUGUGUCAGAGGGGGGUAGAAUUCCACGUGUAGCAGUGAAAUGCGUAGAGAUGUGGAGGAAUACCGAUGGCGAAGGCAGCCCCCCUGGGAUAACACUGACGCUCAUGCACGAAAGCGUGGGGGAGCAAACAGG